UUUUGCAGCCCAAGAUCGGUUACUCACUGAAGCUAAGCAUGGCUGAGCCUGGUCAGUACCUGGAUGGGAGACCACUAGGGAACACUAGGUUGCUGUUGGAA
rnacentral:rRNA from 1 species